GCUGGGUGUGGUGGUGCACGCCUGUGAUUCCAACUACUCAGGAGGCUGGGGCAGCAGGAUCGAAAGUUUGAGGCCAGUCUCAACAACUUAGUGAGACCCUGUCCCAA
rnacentral:sRNA from 1 species